AAUACUAGAUGUUUGGUGCCAAGCGUACUGAGUGUCGUAGCUAACGCGAUAAGUAUUCCGCCUGGGAAGUACGGCCGCAAGGUUAAAAACUCAAAGGAAUUGACGGGGGCCCGCACAAGCGGUGGAGCAUGUGGUUUAAUUCGAUGCAACGCGAAGAACCUUACCUGGGCUUGACAUGUCUGGAAUCCUGCAGAGAUGCGGGAGUGCCCUUCGGGGAAUCAGAACACAGGUGCUGCAUGGCUGUCGUCAGCUCGUGUCGUGAGAUGUUGGGUUAAGUCCCGCAACGAGCGCAACCCUUUUCCUUACUUGCCAGCAUUUCGGAUGGGAACUUUAAGGAUACUGCCAGUGACAAACUGGAGGAAGGCGGGGACGACGUCAAGUCAUCAUGGCCCUUACGGCCAGGGCUACACACGUGCUACAAUGGUCGGUACAAAGGGUUGCUACACAGCGAUGUGAUGCUAAUCUCAAAAAGCCGAUCGUAGUCCGGAUCGCAGUCUGCAACUCGACUGCGUGAAGUCGGAACUCGCUAGUAAUCGCUGGAUCAGAAUGC
rnacentral:rRNA from 1 species